GAUGAACGCUGGCGGCGUGCUUAACACAUGCAAGUCGAACGAAGCAUUUGCGACAGAUUUUUUCGGAAUGAAGUUGCUUAUGACUGAGUGGCGGACGGGUGAGUAACGCGUGGGUAACCUGCCUUGUACUGGGGGAUAGCAGCUGGAAACGGCUGGUAAUACCGCAUAAGCGCACAAUGUUGCAUGACAUGGUGUGAAAAACUCCGGUGGUAUAAGAUGGACCCGCGUCUGAUUAGCUAGUUGGUGAGAUAACAGCCCACCAAGGCGACGAUCAGUAGCCGACCUGAGAGGGUGACCGGCCACAUUGGGACUGAGACACGGCCCAGACUCCUACGGGAGGUAGCAGUGGGGAAUAUUGCACAAUGGAGGAAACUCUGAUGCAGCGACGCCGCGUGAGUGAAGAAGUAAUUCGUGAUGUAAAGCUCUAUCAGCAGGGAAGAUAGUGACGGUACCUGACUAAGAAGCUCCGGCUAAAUACGUG
rnacentral:rRNA from 1 species